CUUCACCUCUCUUGAAACCCAACGUGACCAACUUAAAAAAUCAAAUUAAGACCAGAAAUUAUUUCUCUCUCAAAACGUGUAUGACCAGUUAUCAUUAAUUCCCAUUUCAAUUAAAUCUCAUAAUUGCUUUUAUAAUUAAUUAAAUUUUAUUUAAUUGGAAAGGAAAAGAAAAUGAAUCCCAAGACUUUCUCUUUCAGAACCGAUGGCCCUCACGCUCUCUCCUUUUUUGAACAGAGGAACUAUCUUCUUAAAAAAAAACAAAAACAGAGGAAAUAGUGCUCUCUUCUCUCCUCAAAGCUUCUCCUUCUCUAUUAUGGCCGCUAGUACCGAAUCCGGCCUCGAUUUAACCUGAAUCCUCCUCAAAUGGCCGAAUCGGAGAUCGCAGAAUCCAAACUCAAACGAAAUGGAACAAACACGCAUAUGAAAAAGAAACAACACACCAUAUCGAACAAAACGGCAAGGAUACAUCAGGUGUGAGUAGAUCGGAGCAACAAAGAACUUACCUCUUGAAGACUCCUUCAAGUAAGGAUACUAUUAAGCUUCCACGAAUUUCUUCUUCUCCUUAUGUUUGAAAAUAUCUGUGUAUUGUGUUUAGAGAGAUAGGUUUAGCUCGACUACUUCAGAACUUCAGUGUGAACUUCUCAAGAGUUUCAAGAUUUGUGAGCUUUCAGUGUUUUGGUUGUUGGUUUGAGUCUUGCAGAGUAACAGUAACAGUAGGGUUUUUCGGCUAACUCCUCUCCUUUUUGCUUUGUUCUUUUGUUCUGAUUUAUAGCAGAUUACUAUCUUACCGUUUUUGUGCAAGGUGUAAGGCAGGUCUGACAGCAGGAUUGAGCAGCAUUUUUGGACUGUUUUUGCUGCACUUUUUGGACAGCAAAAGUAACGGGAACCAAUGCUUAAGAGUAGUCAAUUAUCUUGCCUUAGGAGGUUUAGGAUACAUUUUCUUGUAAUUCAUAUUGAAUGCCAAUGUAAACUUGAAAUCUUAUAAGCUUGAAUGAGAAUGGUCAACAUGACUUCUUGA